GGUGAACGUUGGCGGUGCGUCUAAUACAUGCAAGUCGAGCGAGGCUUCGAGCCGAGCGGCGGACGGCUGAGUAACACGUUGGUAGCUACCCCCCACUCAGGGAUAAGCGCGAGAAAUUGCGUCUAAUACCGGAUGGUCCCGAAAGGGUAAAGAUUUUUCGGUGGGGAGGCACCUGCGGCCUAUCAGCUAGUUGGUAAGGUAACGGCUUACCAAGGCUAUGACGGGUAACUGGUCUGAGAGGAUGAUCAGUCAGAGGGAAACUGAGACACGGUUCCC
rnacentral:rRNA from 1 species